UACGUAGGGCGCAAGCGUUGUCCGGAAUUAUUGGGCGUAAAGAGCUCGUAGGUGGCUUGUCACGUCGGGUGUGAAAGCUUGGGGCUUAACUCCAGGUCUGCAUUCGAUACGGGCUGGCUAGAGGUAGGUAGGGGAGAACGGAAUUCCGUGGUGUAGCGGUGAAAUGCGCAGAUAUCAGGAGGAACACCGGUGGCGAAGGCGGGUCUCUGGGCCGAUACUGACGCUGGAGGAGCGGAAAGCGUGGGGAGCGAACAGG
rnacentral:rRNA from 1 species